rnacentral:rRNA from 1 species
AUGGUGUGGCACGACGUAUUCUCCAGGCUACAGCUCACCAGCAGCAUUCCCCUCGGCCACGAGCCCUUCUUCGACUGGUGGAAGGCAUCCACGUCAUCUGCCCCGCCUUCUCUAUGUAAGGGCACGGCCUCCCUUGUGAUCAUCGUCGCCUGGACCCUCUGGAAGCAUAGAAAUGCUUGCACCUUAGACGACAUCCGCCCGUCAGUGACCGAGACCUCUCGAGCUGCUCUGGCCGAGGCAGCAAUGUGGGCCACGGCUGGCGCAAAAGGACUGCGCUCCUUUGUAUUUGAACCGCCUUGA